UUUUAACUACAACCCCAAAUAAAAAAAAACACCCCGUUGAUUUAACCAAAUAACUAAGGGAGGGAAAAAAACUAACAGGGAUCCCUUAAUAAGGGGCAAGCAAGCCAAAUAACUAAGGGAGGGAAAAAAACUAACAGGGAUCCCUUAAUAAGGGGCA
rnacentral:rRNA from 1 species